UGGCUCAGUCGUAGUUCAUCAUGUGUGCUGCAGUUUGUCUUUCUGAAGUGCUAAAUCUAUAAAAAGAUUAUAACGGUUCUCAACUAGUACAGCCCACACGGUAACCUCUGGAUCCGAAAAAAAAAUGCAAAUUCCUCAGUGCAGAAAAUAUCUGUUCCUCUGGAGUCUAUUUGAGGCUGUCUCACAGCUAAAACCCCUUAUAAACACUCAAAAAAGUUUCCAGUUUUCAGUGGUAUUAACAUUGAUGCUGCUUGGUUCUAAAAAUGUUGGAGUAUGUUGCUAAUUUAUUUGUACCCACUCUUAGGUUUCAAAAUUAAAAGUACAAUGUCAUUUAGCAGACGCUUUUAUCCAAAGUUACAUACAAUACAUAGAUGGAGUGAGUUUUUUUAAGUGUUAAGGUUAGGAAACGUUAAUAUUUACUUGUACUUUCCAUUUCUUGUUUGAUUAUAAGGUCAGUUAAGUAGGCAUUCAUCUUCGGCUGUACUGCUUCACCCAAUGUGACUCCUGUCCUAUACUGAGAUUCACAGCCAGUUAAACUCUUUAUAACAUCACCUCCUUCAAAGAACAGGCAAAGUUGUGUUUGGACGAGAUUUAAUGCCAAAAAUUGUGAAACUGAAACAAAGUACAGAAAGCACCGAUUAAUGACCGAUACAAACUACACAAAACAAGUUCAGGUAAAAGUCACUUUGGUGCAUUUCUCACAUCACUAUGAACAUUUGCACAAUAGUGUAUUGUAUUUCUCAAAACAAUUAGUACAAACUGUGUGUGUCUCCCUCAGAUUUCAUGCGACACCAAUCUGUUCCCCCCAAUUUCCCAGCACAAGUGAACAAACCCUGCCGGUAAAAUAGAGGAUUAAUGUCUCAGCGCUGCUCUGAAUGAAUGGGCUUUGCUGGACUCUCAGUGCGAGCUGCCUAGAGCAUGGUAAAGCCCUGUGCAGUCUGUGGAGCAUGGCAGGCUCUAACAGGAUUUACCAUGCUCUUGGCAGAUUGCACUGAGAGCCCUGCUCAGUCUGGUCUGUGUGUUUCAGUGUUGCCAGAUGGGAAAUAUAGAAUUAUCGUACCAGAGACUCAAAUUUAUUUUAUUUUGGGGAAAAUUAUCACACACCCAUUAUAAUGAAAAUAAAGCAUAGCAUUAGUUCUGGCAGGUUAUGACCAUAGACUGUAUAUAAGAUGGACGCCGUGGUUCCGCCUUCCGCCUGUAUACGGAUUUGCCACACGGCUCUCAGUAAUUCCGGGUUUUUCUCUGCUUCCUUGAAACCAGAGCUGUGCAGUAGCGUUGUGCGCAUUCGGCCGCGCAGUCGCCAAGAGUCCCUGUGAUGACGCUCGGUUCAAACAGCGUAUUCCCCCGGAAGAGCUUUGGAAUCCCUGAACGCCCAUAGGCUGUACCAGGUGUCAAUCAUAGAAGACAUGAACCCCCUAAUAACUUUUAAAAACGGAGCUGUACAGAAAUAAAAGUACUUGGGCACAAACCAGUCUUACUGUGACUAUAUGUCAACAUCACAACCAGGGGGGGAGAAAAAAUUAUGUUCUGUGUAAUAAAUUUCUAAAGUUUGUCCACAGUCCCAUAAGCUUUGCUGGCGGAGGCGGGAUUUAUGACCUGUACUGCAGCCCACCAUCAGAGGGUGCUGUUCUCGGAGUGGCUUCACCCAGCAAGGAGGCAGGCUCUGUCCAUCUUAUAUACAGUCUAUGGUUAUGACAUCAAGCACUUAUCCGCAGCCAAUGGCAAGUAGCCAUCUCAACCAACUGAUGGCCCAGCUAUUUCCUCCUAGCUCCUAUUGGUCUUGUGCCGUUAGAGCGCCCUAUUUAAAACUGCCCGAACCCAACCUUUCCGUCUGCUUUGAAAGCCAACUAGCAAAGCUGCAACCGCUCUGCCAGCUCUCACCCAUGAGAACACUCAGAUCAGUGUUUUUCUUAUUCCUGCCUUGCUCCUCAUCACGUUGUUUCCUGGCAACAACGAGGAUUCAUGGCAGAUCGACCACUUUUCUGAAACGCAACAUCAGCAAUGCAACACUGAGGAAGCCAAUCCUCACAACUACAGCUGUGUUCGCGUCCGUGGGAGCUCUCAUCUGGCAAGUUAAAAUUCUAUUUCUCCUAGCUUCAUGUAUGGCCGGUGUCCAGGCUCCUGGAAGUCCUUUAAAAAUAACAUCACAGCUCCAGAUGGUGCCUCACAUCAAGAGCUUCCCACCUUGUCUAUGGAAAAUUUCCACAUAGAGCCUCCACCUGCAGCUCUCUCUUCCUCCUCUGUCUCCAGAAAAGCGACAGAGAAAAAAACCCUGAGCUCCUGCAGCGUCACAGCAGUUCCAGCUUCAGCCGCCGCAUCAGUGCUGCCGCCCUCAGAGCGCGAGGCCCAACCCCAGCUACCAGACAUGUAAAUACUCGAAUUUUAAUCUGAAAUCCCUGUGAAGUUGGAUCUCCAACUCAAAAAUUUAAAUUAAUCUCACCAACCUGACAUAGAAUCCAUGCUAUCUGCUACUUACAUAAGUACUAGUUACAUGUUUUGUUGUACAACUGUCAGGCUGGGAUGCACUGGGAGCACAUAGCUUUAGUGGUGCAAAGGUAAAGGCAAAGCUGAAUGCUAGAAGGUAGAGAUAUAAACCCUUCCAUCAAUCAUCAUUGUAAAUGUCAAAACUCUGCCCAACAAAAGCAAUGAGCUGGAAGAAUUGGUGAAUUGGUGAGUGCAGUCUCUUGUGUUUCACUAAAACCUGGCUGAAUAAAAAAAAUCAGGCUCCAGUGUGGAUCUAUCUCCCAGAUGUUCUAUCUAGUUGCAGGAAGAGAGGAGGAGGUCUGGCUUAAUUUGUCAACCAGAGAUGGUGUAACCCAUCAGGCAUUACUGUCAAGGAAAAGUUGCGUUGUAAAAAUACUGAACUGUUGGCAGUUGCUCUUCUGCCAUAUUAUGUUCCAAGAGAAUUCAGUCAUAUUUCAACAAUAGUUUUUUACAUCCCACCGAAAUCAACUGCAGAAAUUCUGCAGGGACUAAUGGUGCAUUCCAGUUGUUCUCAGAGGUAGGAAUAUACAAGCUCCAAUUCUGAAGUUUCAACGGAUGUCGAGGUUGGAUUUCCGACUUGGAAAGUCAGACAAUCAACACAGACCCUGAGCUGGUGUUUAAAGAUGGUGGCGCCUGUUGUAAACUGUAAGUUAAAGCUCUAUUAUAAUCCUUUUAUUAACACUUUUCACUUUUUAUUGUUGCAAUAAGUCAGCCUGAGGCUCAGGCUACAAAAGUAUUAUUAGAUGUAUAUAUUUUGAGAUGCUGUCAUAACAUCUUUUAUGUGUAUAUGCGAACUAAAAAGCCGUCCGUGCUAAGAGUGGCUAACAACAGCUAACCGUAGCCUGGUAAUUUCAGCUGUUGUUUUUUAUGUUUUUUCAGUGACCUGUUUAUGCAGAGAAGGGUUAUAAAUAGUAGCCUACAAUUUGGUGAGUGACCUCUGGAUGAUGGAUGCACAAAUUAUUAAUUUUUAAAAUGUUUUCUUGAACAGACCGUUUAAAUGGUUAUCAGUUAAUGAGGUUAGUUGAAUGUUAGUUGUACUUCAAAGUAGCAUUCAGCCAAGUGCCUAGCUAAAGAGAGAGGCGCAGCAUAGCUACUUUGAGCCCGGUCAGCUGAAGGUUAUUUACGAGUGAGCCAGCUGGGAAGCAAGCACAGUGCAUACUUGUUUUGUUUUUUGUUUUUUUUUCUUCCUGUUUUUUUUUUUCUUGGCACCAUCCUGACAGGUGAAAGACAUCUACUCUGCAAGUAACAAAAAAGUUUUGUUGCAAAAUAUUUUUCAUAUUCAAAAAUUCAUAAGGCUCUGAUGUAAACCUUUUUUUUUUCUUUUUUUUCCCCAGUGUAUUUGGACAACAAUGCUGUUCUAUUCGUGGACCCAGAGAGGAGGACACCUUUUCAUGGACCUCUGUUUCAAAAAACGCAUGAUCUUACAAUGUAGUACGUCGACAGGGCCUGUACCACUAUGGCAAACCUGGUUAACCCUGAGGAUAGUCACACCACAGCAGUUUAAAUAUAAUAACAAAUAUGAUAAUGGUGAUAAUAAUAACAAAAGUUAUGUCAAUGAUCUAUGAUGUCUAUGAUGUUGCCCCCCUCAGCCCAUCACCACCUCCUGCCCUGUCCUGCCUGCCAAUGAAAGCUUCAUUAGGAACCAAACGAUGUUCCUUAUUGAUUUGAUGCACAAACAUCUGGCAGCAGAAGCCGAUGGCCUCCCGAAGAAUCUAAAAGAGCGGAAUUCUCGGUUGAAAUCUGCAAGAUCUAAUAAAGAAGAACCUGUGAAAGGAGACGGCAGAGGUCUGCAGUUUUCAGAAUAAUUUUGUCCUGAUAAAGUGGCCAGGAAGUGGGACACAUUAGUUGAUGCUUACAAAAAUAUAAAGGACAACAACAAAACAACAGGAAAAGGAGCCAUCUGCUUUUACUUUUUUAGAGAGAUGAAUGAACUUCUAGCAGGGAAGCAUGACGUGGUCUUCCCUGUGGUUGGCACAUCAGUGAGGCUUGAUACAAGGCGACCAGAGGUGCUUGGACCUUCAGCUGUCACGGCUUUCACGGCUGUCACGGCACCUCCAGCAGAGGCUGCUUCAUGCUCCAGCACCCACACAGCACUGACAUACACACACGGCCUGUUAAGCAUUGGCGGGAACAAAAGGACAACCUCCAGUUCUUCCGGGAGUCAGAGGAAGCCAGUCAGAGGUGUCAUGAGGAGGCACAGAGGUGCCACAAAGACUUACUGGCUCAGCUUAGGUCAGCCCAGGGUUUGAGGGCCUGAUGUCUCGAUUGUUAGACAAACUGUGAUUCUGUUAUUCUUGUUUGCAUUGCUGUUAUUGUUAAAACUUUUGUUGUACAGUUUACUUAUAAGCAUUUGCACUAUAUUUAUUACACAUUUUACAUUGGGGAAACUUAAAGUUUUUGCACAAUUUCGAUCUUUGCUAAUGAACUAUUUUUUCUUGAACCAAAAGGGAACAUCUUGAAUAUUUUAUCAAUAUAUGUUGUCAAUCAAUCAAUCAAUCAACUUUAUUUCUAUAGCACAUUUAAAAGAACCACAAGGGUAGACAAAGUGCUGUACAAUGACACAUAAAAAAAAAUAAAACAAUCAAAGAACAAGAUAAAGCGAGCAGAAAUACAUUAAUGCAAAAGAAUAAUUAAGUAUAUAAAUAAGCAGGCUCACGGCAAGUGCUAAGAUUAAGAUCAAACGCUUGGUCCCCUCUGAGCCUCAGCCUUGUAUUGGGGACCGUCAGUUGAUCAGCUGAUCUUAGGGGUCGGGGUGGGCAAUAAGGCUGGAGCAUCUCAGAAAUGUAAGGUGGAGCAAGAUUGUUCAGGCCCUUAAAAACAAAUAUUAAAAGCUUAAAAUGAAUCCUGUUCUGUACAGGGAGCCAGUGUCAGGAGACGUGCAGCAGAGUUCUGCACAAGCUGCAUGCGGGCAAGGGAAGCCUGGCUAAUCCCUACGUACAAAAAGUUGCAGUAGUCAAGACGGGUAGUAAUAAAAGAAUGGACUAUUUUUUCCAGGUCAGAUCUUGAUAAAAUGGGCUUCACCUUCGCUAUUUGACGUAGCUGGUAAAAACCUUUUUGUACCACUCCGCUGACCUGUUAAGUUAACUACCAGAUUAGUGACGACAUCCUUCAGAUGGGGAGUAGAUAAAAGAGGGCUGUGGAUUGAGCCCUGGGGGACCCCAUGUGGAAGAGGAGCUGUUGACGACACAGAGUUGUCAAGUUGAACGCAGAAAUUUCUGUCUGUUAAGUAAGACCAGAACCAGUCCAGGGUGACACCCUCAAUGCCCAAACAGUGCUCCAGGCAAGAGAUUAAAAUGCUGUGGUCAACUGUGUCAAAUGCAGCAGACAGAUCUAGGAGCACAAGGACAACAAACUUUCCAGAGUCUGUUGACAUAAGAAUAUCAUUAGACACCUUUAAAAGUGCUGACUCUGCUGUGGAGAGCUUUAAAACAAGACUGGACCAACUCUGUGAUACCAUUAUCUUCCAAAAAUGGUAACAACUGAUUGUAGACAACCUUCUUUAAAAUCUUGGACAGAUAUGGAAGAUUUGAGAUGGGCCUGAAACUGGCACAGAGGGAUGGGUCAAGGCCAUUUUUUUAAAUAGAGGUCGUACUAGGGCAUGUUUAAAAUCCCUAGAUACUGUACCAGAGGAGAGGCUACUAUUUACAGUAUUAAGGACACUUGGUCCAAUAGUAGUAAGUACUUCUGUAAAAAGCGCGAGGGGGGGAGGCAUCUGCAGGGGAACCAGAGGGCUUCAUAUGGCUGACUAUGUCCUUUAAAAUAGAGAGGGACACAGACUCAAAUUUAGCAAAGACAGAUGAGGGGUGCAGAGGGGCUGAAGGGUCAUAUGAAGGCUGAGAGAUACAGGCUCUGGUUGACAUAAUUUUUUCAGAGAAAAAGUGGGGGAAUUUUUCACAAAUUUCAGUGGAGGCAUCAAAACCAAGAGACUUGGGAGCCUCAAGGACAGUGUUUAUGGUUUUGAACAGAGUCUUGGGAUUGUUACAGUUAAAGGCAAUUAAUUCUGAGAAAUAUUUGUUCUUCUCAGCUUUCACAGUCUUCUGAUACUUCCACAGACUUUAAAGAUGCCAAGAGACACAUGCAGUCUGUCCUUUUUACACCUGCGCUCCGCCCUCCUGCACUCUCGCCUGGCUGCACGAGUGACGUCGCUCAACCAGGGCUCGGGUGUAUGUUUGGUGCGCCGGCUCUUCAGAGGAGCGAUCGUGUCCAGUGUUUGUAGACAGGUGGAGUGAAAUCUCAAUACCAGUUGCUCAGUAUCCACACACACAGAGGCUGCAGAGUCAUCCUCGCAGAGACCAAUGAAGGUAGAGGAGAACAGAGCAGGCGAGGAGAGUUAAACAUGCAACGCUGUUGAGGAGGAGCGCACAAUUUAACCGGACACUGAGUGGGGAUGUCAAAUAAAAUUGGCAUAUGAUCCGAGAAAACAGCGUCACAAAUGUCAAGAUUGGAGACACACAGACUGUGCGAGAGCAGUAAGUCUAGUGUGUGCCCAAGAUUAUGUGUAGAACCGGACACAGACUGCACGAAGUUAAAAGAGUCAGUGAGAUUUAAAAGCUCCUGGAGACCAGCUUUUCAGGGCAACAAGUGUGAAUAGCAAAAUCGCCAACAAUAAGGACACGGUCGUAUUUCGGCAGAAUUUCGGCCAGAAAUUCAGAAAAGUCACUUACUCCUUAUUGAACUUGGGUGGUCGAUAGAUGAUGGCGCACAGGACAACAUAAGAGCAGCCUAGUUCAAACAAGCACAGUUCAAAACUUGUAAAGGAGAAUUGCAGACAGAUCUGCUGGCAUUUAAAGUCGCUUAAAAAUAACUGCUUUUCCACCUCCUUUUCGACCAGAUGACCGCGGGGAAUUAAAAUAGCAGCAAUCCGGCGGACAGAGUUCAUUAAGAGGGCUGGACUCACCGGUACUCAGCCAUGUCUCCGUCACACAGAGAAAAUCCAAUCCACACAACAUGAAGAAAUCCUUCAAGAUAAAAGUUUUGUUUGCCAGUGAUCUAGCAUUAACAAGGCCGAACCUGGCAGAGAUCGGCACAUCCAAGGCAUCGGCUGAUUGUGGAGCCCGACACAGGGCCCGUAGAUGGCGGGGAUCUACCCUACGCCGGCGGGGACGAGGAGAGCAGGGGCCGCAGGGACAGAUUACCUCAUCUGAACCGUCGACAGGUACCAGCCAGGAGUCGACAGGGUCCAGCGAUCACAGAUGAAGAAAGAGACCAGAUCCCACUCCAUUUCUCCUCAAGGAAUCCGCGGAAGAUCGAGCCAAAAGAGUUCUAACUUUCACCAGCUGGCCGCUGCAUUUGCCAUGGUAGCGCCAGCGUUUACGCCGGGGAAGUGGAGCGAGGGUGCAGCGAAGGUGAGCAGGUAUCCUGGAGAGGUGAAACGGCUUAAACGUGGUACAACCAUAGUGAUCAGGAUCUAGUUUCACCAAAUCCUUGGCAGAGGGGUGAAGAUCCAGCCGUGUUUGGCGGUCAUACACAAGCAGUGAGCUGACAUAACUGAUAACAAUAGACAUAAACAGCACAAACACAAACAGCGCUGACAGCGAGAGACGGCAGGCUUAUUUGCAUUAUUUUUAUUUGCACUAUUUUGUACCUAAUUGUUUUUUCUUGAAUCAAAAAGGAACAUUUUGGAUAAUUAAUUAAAUUUGUAAUCUUUAUUGAAUAUUGCAAUAAAUGUAAUCAAUAGUUUUACACUUCUGACUGGCAUGUUGUUGAUAUUAUUGUAAAUAAUACUGAUAAGCAAUGAUUAUAAUUACAAGGAAAGAACAGUCAAUUGUGGAAAACAUUUAUUUGCAGGACAGACAGUUUAAAAGACAUCUAAAAACAUUUAUGAUAACAGUGUAUUAUUGGUAUCUAUUUACAAUAUUUACAAUUUAAGGAUGGGUUGGAUAACUUUAUGGCCUGGCCUCAUGACAUUUGCAGUGUCACUCAUUUUCAUCUGAAAAAAAAGGAAUGUGUAUGCUAUCACAUACGUAUUUUUAUUAUUAUAUACAUAUGUUAAUCAGCAUUUACUGAAAAUCACUUGGUGUGAAUGCUUGCCAGAAUUGUAUCUGUUUCUUUUUAAUGAGCAUGGGAAAGGAGAAGUAUGGCCUUGGAGUUGGGACUGAUACUUUUCCGCUGAAGUCAUGCAACUAGAUAAACGCUACAAUUUCACUCACAGGUUGUUUUCUCAGCAGUAUGACAUUAACCUGAUAAGCAGGAACCUGAUGAUGAACUAAGCUGUCUUUGUCUUCCCAGUACAGACCACAGCUGCAACUUGUACCCUACUUGGAUACUGUUGUAAUGUCAUGCCAUUACAACAGUGGCGGGGGUGUCUGUUUCUUGGCUGCAUGAAGGAUAUGUAAAAAUCUGAAUUCCUCAGUCAGAACCUGCCUUUGUUGUCAGCUGCUGACAGUUGCAAGUAAAAGAUAGUAAAGAAGACCACUAUCUUUAAUGUUUUUCUCAUCCACAAUUCCCUGAAGGAGGACAGUAUAAAAAGACUUUCGAUUCAUGUAGUCUCCUCCUCGUAUUGGUGGCCUUUGCAUCCGGAUGUGGCAUCCAUCAAUAGCACUGAUGACACCACUGAGACCACAGAGGCAGUGGAAAGCAGCAGCAGAUGCUGCUUUCUCACAGGUAUUUGGCCAGGAUAUAAAUAAUAAUCCUAUUGUGCACAUGAUGUUGAGCGCUUGUAGGGUGAUCCCGUUUGCUGUGGACUGUGACACAUCAAACACAGCAGACAUCUCAUGGAAGCUGUUUUGGUUGGCCAUGUACCACAGAAACAUCAGCACCUUCGUUGUUGCAUGAACUAGCGGUAGACCUUGACAUUGUUGUUGUUCAAUACCAUUGUCCUGAAGCUUCAUCAUCAGAUAUUCAAACUGGGGCUUGGUGACACGAAAAUGACGUGAAAAGGUGUGAUCAUCCAUGUUCAGCAUCAUCUCCCACUCUGUUCCAGUCUUCAAAAUAAUUUGCUGUGUAGGCUGCAGCACAGCCAAUAUUCUAGGUGAGAGACAAAACAUGUUUCAGUAAAGACAAUGACACAUUUUACAGUCCUUAUAGCAUCACUGUAUCAUUACGAUAUUACUAAUAUGAGCAGCUUUUACUUCCUUUUAUCAGUGGAGUGAAUUUACCUUGUAUUUUUAAAAAAAUCUUUAACACAAUCAAUCAAUCGUUAUUGAUUGAUUCUUUAUUGAUCCGUUAUUGAUUCAUAUUUCGAAUGAUGCGCUUGAACUGAGAGGUUGCUGCAAGUCUGGUCUCUCUGUAUUAUCUGUAAUUUUUGUAAUUUUGGUAGAUUUUGUAAUAUUUUUGUUGGCUGCUGAUGGAUAUUUCUGCUGGGCGAAGAGUUUACUCAAGAAAAGAGCUCCUUUCAUUGAGGAAAAGCAAAUCUGGACAACAACAUACAAUUCCAGAGGACAUCAGGAGGUGUUAUCGUGGUUCAUGUGCUGCUGCAAAGGUAAAGGCAAAGCUGAAUGCUAGGAGGUGGUGAUAUAAACCAUUUCUUCCAUCAAUUAUCAUGGGAUACGUCAACUCUCUGCCCAACAAAAGCAAUGAGCUGGAAAUAUUGGUGAUGACUGAGAAAGCAUACCGUGAGUGCAAUUUCCUGUGUUUUACUGAAACCUGGUUGAAUCAAAACAACUCUGAUCUACCUGGCUUCACUCUCAUAAGGUCAGAUGGAGAUGCUCAAGCUAGUAGCAAGAAGAAAGGUGGAACUCUGGCUUUAUUUGUCAACCAGAGAUGGUGUAAUCCUUCACACGUAACUGUCAAGGAGAAGUUAUGUUGUCCAGAUAUUGAACUGUUGGCAGUUGCUCUACGGCCAAUAGUUGUUUACAUUCCACCCAAAUCAACUGAGGAAAUUCCAUGCAAUGUUUUGCAUAAUAGUGUUGCUAGGCUACAGACUCAACACCCUGAUGCACUAAUAAUAUCUGAAGACUUCAACCAUGUCACCCUCUCCUCUCACCAGACUGGAUUCACACAGUUUGUGAACGGUCCUACCAGAGAAAACAAAACCCUGGAUCUGCUGUAUGGCAAUGUCAAAGAUGUCUACAGAGCCACUGCCUUACCACCACUGGGCAAGUCAGAUUGUAGAAAACCACUUUUUGGUUUUAUGUAUUGCUGUUUAACAUUUUGGCCACAAGAGGGCAGCAUUGUACUGUUAAAAUGGUUAAAUAGGUUAAAAUCUUAAAAACAAACAGUUAAGCUACUUGCAAUGCAUUUUUUAAAUGAUUCGAGUGUAUAAAAAUAUAGCUCAUGAUUUAAGUUUGUUAUAAGAAAAUGUAAUUUAUGUGUUUUAUAUGUAUAUUGCUCAUUUUGGAGCUUGGUUAUUAUGGUUAUUAUGAGCUUUUAUUUUGAAGAGAUUGCUAACCAACUUGUCACUUCCUCCUGGCUUUAUGUGUGGGUAAAAAGAAACAAAAGGACGUUCACGGUAUGAGUGAGCUAACAUAAUGGUGAAAGUAAAAGAGUUUAAGGUAAAGGAAAAUAAAGUAAUAAAUCUACGGUAAUUAAAGAGUGAGACAAUGAUGACGGAAUAGCUACCUCCCAAGGAGGCACAAGGUUAGUGAGCGAGUGUGUAUGUUAUGGUUUACGUUACUGUGCUAAAGCUAAGCUAAUUCUCUUUCACCUGCGGUGAAGCUACUGGGUAAUGGUGCAUAGUGUAAAAAGAAAUGUAAUUUAAUUUUUUGUGUUUUUGUUAGUUCUCACAGUGAAUUUCAUAGAGCUGAUUUAUGGAGAUUUAUGAAAAUAAAGACAAUUUUAAGAAAUCAUCAGUCGAGUCCACCAUCUGUUGGAUGGUACCCUGCAGUGAGAACUUACCCCAGCGAGGCUCCAGUGACUACUUUACCACAUGCAUCGCCACUUCAUCUGUGAACUCCAUGGUCAAGCAGCACAACACGGAGCUACACUCAAGGAGCGGUAAAGACUACCAAUACAGUAAAAAUGGAUGCCUUAAAGGAACAGAUAAAUAAACUACAAGCAGAAAUUGAAGAAAAUAGAGGAUUGCUAAAUCAAAGGGAUGAAGAAGGCUUGUCAUGGCCGGAAUUAAAGGAGCUAACUGAAACCAAAAAUUAACAACUAGUUGAGCUGCAACAUGAAAUGAAUGACACUGAUGAAAUAAAAAUACCACGUCAUUCAGAAUGCAAAGAUGUAUCCACAGAGAAGUUUCUUGCCUAUCAAAGGGAGGAACAAAGUAAAAAGAAAAGGAGACUGCUUAGUCUUUAUGAACAAUGGAAAAUUCAAAUCAGAUCAACCAAAGAAAAUCUAAAGCAAAACACAAUAGAUAUGGAACUGGCUAAAAUGGCAGACACUGUUGAAAACGGAAAGGAUGACAUCAUGAAAAUUUACAACGAAGUAAGACAGGAUGCCACUCCAUGUGCUGAUUUAAGACGCAAAAUAGAUGCUUGUGAGGCAGUCACCAAUGACAUUAUGAAAAUAAUAAAUGAACGUUUAUCAGGAAUAGACGAUGUCUUUGAUGCAGAGCGUGAAAAGCGCAAACUCUGUGAGUUUCAUGCUCAUAACUACGCUCAUUCCAUAUAUGGGACUGCUUCUCAGUCAGCUAAUAGUCACUUCUCAGAAGCAUCAGUCAUGGCUGCAAAAAGAGCGGAAACAGUUGCAGAGCUUGUGGCAAAUGAGGCUCAAUGUAAACCAAUGGAAGAAGAAAGAAAGCAGAAAGAAAAAAUAAGGAUGAUGGAGUCUGAAUUAGAGCGUUUGCAAGCAGAAAGGGACAGAGAAGUAGCACGUGUCAGACUGGAAAGCCAAGACAGAGAAAUCAGACAAGAAACUGACAGUCAGUCGUUACAGCAAAUGAACAGUCUGCCUACACAGCAACAAGACAGCAGAUACAACAGGCAGAGCCCGCCAUCCCCUUUGUGUAUCACCCGAACCCUUCCAUAGUCCCACCAAAUCCCUCCACUGACAUCUCCUCUCUAGCCCAAGUGAUUCAAGACAGCAUAACCAUUAAUAGACUCCCCAUGCCAAUGCCCACAGUGUUUGGAGGAGACCCCAUCCACUUCAUUGAAUGGAGAGCUUCAGUCAUGUCACUGAUAGAUAAGAAGGGCAUCUCAUUAGCCGACAAACUUUAUUAUCUGAAGAAAUAUGUCAGUGGCCCUGCUCACAAAUGUAUUAAAGGCACCUAUUAUUGAGACUAUGGUGAAGCAUACAGAGAUGCAUGGAAUAAGCUCAACCAACGCUACGGGCAGCCGUUUGUCAUUCAAAGAGCCUUCAGGGACAAGCUGUCAAAAUGGCCGAAAGUGCAAACCAAAGAUGCUGAAGGAUUAAGAACCUUCUCUGAUUUCUCAAAUGCCUAUCUCCAAGCCAUGCCUCAUGUGAAAGUGACUGUGUAAAGAAUCAAAAGCUGACACAGAAAGUUCCAGACUGGCUAGCAGCACGCUGGAACCGUCAAGUCUCAAUAGCUCUCAUGGGAGGUAGAGACUUCCCUACUUUUGAAGAUUUUGCCAACUUUGUGUCAGUAGAAGCGGAGAUAGCAUGUAAUCCAAUCACUUCCUUGCAUGCGCUGCACUCAUCUAGCUCAUCCUACAUCAAAAGAAGCACAAAUGAAACAAAGGGAAACAAAGUAAGUGUGUUCAGCACUCAAACAAAUGCAAACACUGAAAAAAUGAAAGCAAACUAUGGAAAAGAAUGGUCUCCCUGCAUAUGGUGCAAGGAUGACAAGCAUCAACUUUCAAAGUGCUCAAUGUUCAAAGAAAAUUCCCUCGAAGAACGACGAACAUUCAUAAAAGACAAUAAACUGUGUUAUGGAUGUGUCAAGCCAGGUCACAGUGCUAAGGAAUGUCGUCCCUGUCACACUUAUGAUCUGUGCAAGGGAAGGCAUCCCACCUGUCUACAUGAUGAACGUUAAAAAGGGUAUGAGGAGAAAGACAGACCUGUAAACAGUCAAAGAAGGAAAUCUAGAGUAAAUGUGAUCACAGCUACAAAUGAAAUUGUGACAGCAAGCCCACUCUGUGUCACUAAAGAGAGUAAGCAAUGAGUUACAACCAAACACUUUCCCUGUACAACUGAAACUCCCUACUAUGUUGGGAGAGAGCAUGAUAAUGAAAAGUGAAAGAGUGGAGGGACUCCGUGUCAGAGGCUACAAUUCAGGCAUUUACAUUGAUCUCCCCCCUUCAUACACCAAAGACUGUAUCCCCAUGAACCGUGACAACAUACCUACCCAUCAAACAGUGAAACAAUGGCCUCAUCUAGCUGCAAUCACAGAUCAGAUACCACCUUUCCUCAGCUGUGAUGUGGGAGUCCUCAUUGGGUAUAACUGUCCGGGAGCAAUAAAACCCAGACAAAUGAUUGAUGGAGCAGACAAUGAGCCCUACGCCGUCCUCACAGACUUGGGGUGGAGCAUUGUGGGCUGCUCUACACCUGGCUUUGAUAAAGGACACUCCGGCUUGUGUCACAGAGUCAUGCUAAAGGAACUUUCUCCAGUAACGCUGAUGGAUGUGAUAAGCGUUCUGGAGUCAGACUUCAAAGACACAAAAGGAGAUGACAAAACUGUCUUACAAGAGGACCUCAUGUUCUUGAGCAAACUCAAAGAUAGUAUAAAGAAAAAUGCCCAGGGACAUACGAGAUGCCUCUUCCAUUCAAACAACAGCCCUCUCUACCUAGCAACAAAAGGCUCGCUGAAAUCAGGCUUGAUCAUCUACAGCGUAAGUUCAGCAGGGAUGAAAAUUAUGAAAGAGACUACACAACAUACAUGAAGGAGAUCAAAUAGAGAGGUGAUGUGGAGGAGGUGCAGACAGAUGGAGUUUAAGGGGAGCGAUGGUAUAUUCCACCUCAUGGCAUAUAUCA
rnacentral:lncRNA from 1 species